rnacentral:rRNA from 1 species
UACGAAGGGGGCUAGCGUUGUUCGGAUUUACUGGGCGUAAAGCGCAUGCAGGCGGAUCUUUAAGUCAGGGGUGAAAUCCCGGGGCUCAACCUCGGAACUGCCUUUGAUACUGGGGAUCUCGAGUCCGGGAGAGGUGAGCGGAACUGCGAGUGUAGAGGUGAAAUUCGUAGAUAUUCGCAAGAACACCAGUGGCGAAGGCGGCUCACUGGCCCGGUACUGACGCUGAGGUGCGAAAGCGUGGGGAGCAAACAGG